rnacentral:rRNA from 1 species
AGAACGAACGCUGGCGGCAUGCCUAAUACAUGCAAGUCGAACGAACACUUCGGUGUUAGUGGCGCACGGGUGCGUAACGCGUGGGAAUCUGCCCUUGGGUUCGGAAUAACAGUUGGAAACGACUGCUAAUACCGGAUGAUAUCGAAAGAUCAAAGAUUUAUCGCCCAGGGAUGAGCCCGCGUAGGAUUAGCUAGUUGGUGAGGUAAAGGCUCACCAAGGCGACGAUCCUUAGCUGGUCUGAGAGGAUGAUCAGCCACACUGGGACUGAGACACGGCCCAGACUCCUACGGGAGGCAGCAGUAGGGAAUAUUGGACAAUGGGCGAAAGCCUGAUCCAGCAAUGCCGCGUGAGUGAUGAAGGCCUUAGGGUUGUAAACUG